UUCGCCCUUAGAGUCCUAUCCUGGCUCAGGACGAACGCUGGCGGCGCGCCUAACACAUGCAAGUCGAACGGAGCUUAAAGAGCUUGCUUUUUAAGCUUAGUGGCGAACGGGUGAGUAACGCGUGAGUAACCUGCCCUGGAGUGGGGGACAACAGUUGGAAACGACUGCUAAUACCGCAUAAGCCCACGGAUUCGCAUGGAUCUGCGGGAAAAGGAUUUAUUCGCUUCAGGAUGGACUCGCGUCCAAUUAGCUAGUUGGUGAGGUAACGGCCCACCAAGGCGACGAUUGGUAGCCGGACUGAGAGGUUGAACGGCCACAUUGGGACUGAGACACGGCCCAGACUCCUACGGGAGGCAGCAGUGGGGGAUAUUGCACAAUGGGGGAAACCCUGAUGCAGCGACGCCGCGUGGAGGAAGAAGGUUUUCGGAUUGUAAACUCCUGUCGUUAGGGACGAUAAUGACGGUACCUAACAAGAAAGCACCGGCUAACUACGUGCCAGCAGCCGCGGUAAAACGUAGGGUGCAAGCGUUGUCCGGAAUUACUGGGUGUAAAGGGAGCGCAGGCGGACCGGCAAGUUGGAAGUGAAAACUAUGGGCUCAACCCAUAAAUUGCUUUCAAAACUGCUGGCCUUGAGUAGUGCAGAGGUAGGUGGAAUUCCCGGUGUAGCGGUGGAAUGCGUAGAUAUCGGGAGGAACACCAGUGGCGAAGGCGACCUACUGGGCACCAACUGACGCUGAGGCUCGAAAGCAUGGGUAGCAAACAGGAAUAGAUACCCUGGUAGUCCAUGCCGUAAACGAUGACUAUAAGGUGUUGGAGGAUUUGACCCCCUUUCAUAGCCGCAGUUAACACAAUAAGUAAUCCACUUGGGGAGUUCGUCCGCAAGUUGAAACUCAAAGGAAUAGAGUGGGCCCGCACAAGCAGUAGAGUAUGUGGUUUAAUUCGAAGCAACGCGAAGAACCUUGCCAGGUCUUGACAUCCCGAUGACAGAGUAUGUAAUGUACUUUCUCUUCGGAGCAUCGGUGACAGGUGGUGCAUGGUAGUCGUCAGCUCGUGUCGUGAGAUGUUGGGUUAAGUCCCGCAACGAGCGCAACCCCUAUCCCCAGUAGCCAGCAUUUCGGAUGGGCACUCUGUGGAGACUGCCAGGGACAACCUGGAGGAAGGUGGGGAUGACGUCAAAUCAUCAUGCCCCUUAUGACUUGGGCUACACACGUGCUACAAUGGCAUAAACAAAGGGAAGCGAGACCGCGAGGUGGAGCAAAUCCCAAAAAUAACGUCCCAGUUCGGAUUGUAGUCUGCAACUCGACUACAUGAAGCUGGAAUCGCUAGUAAUCGCAGAUCAGAAUGCUGCGGUGAAUACGUUCCCGGGUCUUGCAUUCACCGCCCGUCA
rnacentral:rRNA from 1 species